CAGCCGCGGUAAUUCCAGCUCCAAUAGCGUAUAUUAAAGUUGUUGCAGUUAAAAAGCUCGUAGUUGAAUUUCGGGGUCAGUAGGUCGGUCGUGCCACUGGUAUGAACUGGUUUUACUGAUUCCUCCCUCUUGAAGAACUGUAAUGCCAUUAAUUUGGUGUUGCAGGGAAUCAGGACUGUUACUUUGAAAAAAUUAGAGUGUUUAAAGCAGGCUUUAGCUUGAAUACAUUAGCAUGGAAUAAUGAAAUAGGACGUUUGAUCCUAUUUUGUUGGUUUCUAGGAUUGACGUAAUGAUUAAUAGGGAUAGUUGGGGGCAUUAGUAUUCAAUUGUCAGAGGUGAAAUUCUUGGAUUUAUUGAAGACUAACUACUGCGAAAGCAUUUGCCAAGGAUGUUUUCAUUAA
rnacentral:rRNA from 1 species